UACGUAGGCAGCAAACGUUGUUCGGAAUUACUGGGCGUAAAGAGUGUGUAGGCGGCUUUGUUAGUCUGGUGUGAAAUCUCCCGGCUUAACUGGGAGGGUGCGCUAGAAACUGCAGAGCUAGAGUAUCGGAGAGGAAAGCGGAAUUCCCGGUGUAGAGGUGAAAUUCGUAGAUAUCGGGAGGAACACCAGUGGCGAAGGCGGCGAUCUGGGUCGAUACUGACGCUGAGGUGCGAAAGCGUGGGGAGCAAACAGG
rnacentral:rRNA from 1 species